rnacentral:misc_RNA from 1 species
CUUUCAAUUGACUUUAUUUUACCUGGUUGAGAUCUCAAUUUAUAGCUUAAAUGAGCCUUACAACUCAUUUUCUUAUGCUUUAGUUUCUACGCCCAUCUCAGAUUUUCAGUUCUUGCCUGUUGCCUCACUUCAAAUUGUGCCCUGGGUACUGCUGAUAGUCUAGUAGUACUGUUGUGCAAAUUUUUAGCAUUCAAUUUAACUCUCACAUUACAAGUUGACCCUGUUAUUUAGAUAAUCUAUAUAUUGUUCAGCAUCCUAGAAUUUACUUGCCCUUGGAUCCUUUUCGAUUCAUGCGCCAAAUCCUUGCCCAUUGAUAUAUGUUAGAAUACUCUAACUGUAGGCAUCAAUGUCAAUCUUAUGUGGCUUACCUCUCCUUGAGUGUGUCUACUGUCUAGCAUGUGCCCGCUGGGCAUGGAAACGUUGUCUCCAUUCCGCUGGUCAUGACAGUGAAACUUGGGGCCUUGCAACUGUAGAAGAAUUUGAGCCUGUUCCUCGCCUAUGUCGCUAUAUUCUAGCCGUUUAUGAAGAUGAUCUUCGGCACCCUAUGUGGGAGCCGCCUGGAGGGUAUGGAAUAAACCCAGAUUGGGUAAUUCUCAGAAAAACUUAUGAGGAUACUCUUGGAAGGGCCCCUCCCUAUAUAUUGUAUCUAGAUCAUGAUCAUUCCGAUAUAGUUCUUGCGAUCAGAGGCCUUAAUCUGGCAAAAGAAAGUGACUAUGCUGUGCUUUUGGACAAUAGACUGGGGAAAAGGAAAAUUGAUGGUGGUUACGUCCACAAUGGACUCUUGAAGGCUGCUGGGUGGGUUUUGGAUGCAGAGUGUGAGAUUUUGAAGGAAUUGGUGAAGAAGUAUCCAAAUUAUACUUUGACUUUUGCAGGACAUUCCCUUGGGUCUGGUGUAGCUGCGAUGUUGACAUUGGUGGUAGUGCUAAAUCGGGAUAAAUUGGGAAACAUUGAGAGAAGAAGGGUCAGGUGCUAUGCUAUUGCACCGGCAAGAUGUAUGUCGCUUAAUUUGGCAGUCAGAUAUGCAGAUGUUAUUAGUUCUGUUGUGCUGCAGGAUGAUUUCUUACCACGGACGGCCACACCCUUGGAAGACAUUUUCAAGUCACUUUUCUGUUUGCCAUGCCUACUAUGUCUAAGGUGCAUGAGGGACACAUGUAUACCCGAAAAGCAUCUGCUCAAAGAUCCAAGGAGACUCUAUGCACCUGGUCGCCUCUAUCACAUUGUUGAGAGAAAACCUUUCAGAAUGGGAAGAUUCCCCCCAGUUGUGAGGACAGCAGUACCAGUGGAUGGCAGGUUUGAGCAUAUAGUUCUAUCCUGUAAUGCCACUUCUGACCACGCAAUCAUUUGGAUAGAGAGAGAAGCCACGAGGGCUCUGGAUCUAAUGCUGGAGAAAGAUCAUAUCAUGGAGAUCCCAGUAAAGCAAAGGAUGGAGCGGCAGGAGACUUUGGCCCGUGAACAUACUGAGGAGUACAAGGCUGC